rnacentral:rRNA from 1 species
AACGAACGCUGGCGGCGUGCCUAACACAUGCAAGUCGAACGCGAAAAGCAGUAAUGCUGAGUAGAGUGGCGCACGGGUGAGUAACACGUAAAUGACAUGUCCUCGAGACGGGAAUAACCAGCCGAAAGGCUGGCUAAUACCCGGUAAGCCCACGUCUUUGGAGAUGAGGGAAAAGGGUCGGGAAUUUUCGAAUCCGAUCGCUUGAGGAGUGGUUUGCGGCCCAUCAGGUAGUUGGCGAGGUAAAAGCUCACCAAGCCUAAGACGGGUAGCUGGUCUGAGAGGAUGAUCAGCCACACUGGAACUGAGACACGGUCCAGACUCCUACGGGAGGCAGCAGUGGGGAAUCUUGCGCAAUGGGAGCAAUCCUGACGCAGCAACGCCGCGUGGGUGAUGAAGGUCUUCGGAUCGUAAAGCCCUGUCGGAGGGGAAGAUGCUUGGAACGUCUAAUAGAUGAGCCAGGUGACGGUACCCUCAAAGGAAGCACCGGCU